AUUGACCGCUGCCGGCAGGCCUAACACAUGCAAGUCGACCGAGAGGCGGGCGGGUGAGUAACGUCUGGGACACUGCCUGAUGGAGGGGGACAACUAGUGGAAACGGUAGCUAAUAACGCACACCGUAAGAUGUGCACGGAUGGGAUUAGCUUGUUGGUGGGGUAACGGCUCACCAAGGCGACGCGCCGUAGCUGGUCUGAGAGGAUGACCAGCCACACUGGAACUGAGACACGGUCCAGACUCCUACGGGAGGCAGCAGUGGGGAAUAUUGGACAAUGGGCGAAAGCCUGAUGCAGCCAUGCCGCGUGUAUGAAGAAGGCCUUCGGGUUGUAAAGUACUUUCAGCUGGGAGGCGUUACCCGCAGAAGAAGCACCGGCUAACUCCGUGCCAGCAGCCGCGGUAAUUC
rnacentral:rRNA from 1 species